rnacentral:lncRNA from 1 species
GUGAACUGGUUACUGUUCAGAUUGCAAUUUUAGCGUUCCCCAAUGUUUAGAGUGCCCCAUAUCAGCAUGUGCACAUAGGUUGUACUUUGCAGGAACAUUAGCAAUCUUAGUAUCACUGGAAUCCAGUAAUACCGCAAGAUGUGCGAUUCAAGCUUUUCAUCGAUGACAAAAAAGCUAAAUCUUAAGCAUGCUUCAUCUUACCCUACUCUAUGAUGUCCAGUUACUGAUAUAUCACGUCAAGACUUCAUGACACAAACUGAGAGAAAUUCAGAGGAAAAUCCAAGUUCGAAAUCAUCAAUUACGCCGUAGACUGACUCUAUAUCAAAGGAGCUAAAAAGUAUGCAAACCUUAAGAGGAGUUACUCAUAUGGGUUUCAAAUAUGUCCCUUGCAGGUAAACGACCUUGUAUAAAAGUAUCCUCAACGUUCCUUGUGUAUAUAUUGAUUA